AGACUUCUUAACUUAUCCAAAAUACUAUGAACCAAAUCUAGAGACACUUGGACAGGAUUUUCACUGAAACACUCAAUUGAAUUCAUUAGUAAUCACAAGAUAUACUUAAAUGCUUUGAGCUCAUCAAAAUCAAAUGGAGUUUUAAUCAAUCACUCCACACGGCAGAUCCUUGUUGCGCCUCUUUUGCAUUUUGUCUUUGAUACUUAAUAAAUUCCUUUUGUCUGGGUGUUUGGAUGUCUUUAUGAAGUAUGUAUAAACCCAAAAACUGUUGCAAAAAUUGUUUUAAAAUAGUAAUAUAGCAGUAAUUGAAUGGGCAGCUUACCUGAUUUUUAUUCAUUAUGUCUAUAUGAAAUGGCAGCAUUAAUGGAUGACUAUUCGAUUUAGAAAACAGGUUAAACGGAUUAAAUAGGUUAAACGGGUUAAACGGGUCGGAUCGGGUAAACAGGUUAU
rnacentral:lncRNA from 1 species